rnacentral:rRNA from 1 species
AUUGAACGCUGGCGGCAGGCCUAACACAUGCAAGUCGAACGAGUGGCGGACGGGUGAGUAAUGUCUGGGAAACUGCCCGAUGGAGGGGGAUAACUACUGGAAACGGUAUCUAAUACCGUAUACUAUCGGAUGUGCCCAGAUGGGAUUAGCUAGUAGGUGGGGUAACGGCUCACCUAGGCGACGACCCCUCGCUGGUCUGAGAGGAUGACCAGCCACACUGGAAAUGAGACACGGUCCAGACUCCGACGGGAGGCAGCAGUGGGGAAUAUUGCACAAUGGGCGCAAGCCUGAUGCAGCCAUGCCGCGUGUAUGAAGAAGGCCUUCGGGUUGUAAAGUACUUUCAGCGAGGAGGCGUUACUCGCAGAAGAAGCACCGGCUAACUCCGUGCCAGCAGCCGCGGUAAUAC